UUCACAAUUAUUGUCAGUAAUUCAAAAGUAAGCGACAAUAUCAAAUCUAACAUUCGGUAAUUGUUGGCGGAAUUCAAUAUUAUUCCUAGAGACGAUAUAUAUCUUUAACGCACUUCAAACAAAAGUAAUUAUAGUCGACAGCUGCCAAGUAUAGUACUACUUUGUAUGAAAUAGGGUUUUACUGUGUUUUACUGUUCUGUGACACACUGUUAUAGUCCAGACGCUUGUGUCAUCCUGUGGGAUUCGAGGUUUUAAGAUUUUUUUGUGAAUGGAUUCUGAUAGAGUAUCACAAGUUGUAGAACUAAAUUUUUUUCUUGAGGUUGAUGAACCGGUAUUACCGGUAAAAUUACCGUUUUCGUGUAAAACUAAGAAUCGCUAUAACUCGAGAUAGAAGUGACUUGGUUCGGAUUUCUUUUUUUUGUUAGCAAGAAACCUACAGCAGCAACAUGAACAACGUAUAUCUAUAUGUGUAUGAUAUUUCGAAUGGGCUCGGAAUUUAUCAUACUAGUGUAACAGCUCAUGGCAUCGAACUUGCAUACAACGCUUAUGGAGUUCUAGUACAUAGAAUGGGCGAAUCACGUUUCAACCAACCGAAAAAUAUUGAAUACAUGGGACAGACAUCGUGUUCAAUAGAUCAAUUGUUAAGCUAUGUCAAAGUCUUAUCAAACGAUCAAUUUCAAGCUUCGCGAUAUGAUGUGUACACGAACAAUUGCAUCGAUUUCUGCAAAGUUUUGGUUACGUUCCUAUGCAAUGGCAUAAUUCCGGAUUAUGUACAGGUUGCUCCCAGACUCGGUCAAGGUACGGUAAUUGGCCGAUUUUUAAAACCAUUAUUUGCUUCUUGUAGUGCUGCAAAGAACGAUCGAUAAUAAAUAAAUGACGGAAAAGUUUUUUUACAGU